ACUGUUUUUUGUGUAAAUUUUAAUCUUUAUUGGUGUGAUAUGAUGAUAGUACAUGGAUGAACAAUAUUAUAAAGAUGAGAUGGUUAAUAAAUGAUGAUGUUUCUCACCAAACUCUCAACUCAGAUUCAACUGAAGCUCGUAUUAACUUUCAUAUUCAGUUCAAUCAAAGAACGUAUGCGAUCAUCCUAACAUGAGGAAGAUUUGUCGUGAUCUAUUAACAAGGAGUGUUGCAAAUAAAUUCCCUUGGAAGAUGAUGAUGAUGGAUUAGCCGGCUAUGAUUAUGACCCAGGUGCAUCAGCUGAUUUUUAAUAUUGAAGACGCUGCUCAAAUUGAUGAUGUACAUUGCUCAAUUGAUAAAGAAAAUUUGGAUUUAUAAGUUCUGAAGGUUCCUCUGGUGGUAUUAUAAUUCUGUGAAGGAAGGAAUUUUUGUGAUGGAGUUUUUCUGUGACAAUUGAGUUCAGAAAUGUUUGAUGGUUAUAUAUGGCUGUAUAGUUCAGUGUAUGGUGCCUCUGAUACAAGUUAUUACAACCAAUGCUGGAAGGAAUUUAGUGAUAUUCGGCUUCUUUUUGGCGACCCUUGGUUGAUAUCUGGAGACUUCAACGCAAUGAUAUUCAGGAUGAUAGAAAUUUGCUUGGUGGCUGCCUUACUAAUAGAAGAUCUUUUAGAAGAUUUGUCAACAUGCGUUCUUUAAUUGAUCUUCAUUUAUCUGGUGGAAGGUUCACAUGUACAAAUUUGCAGCAGCCUCCUCUGCUUGUUAGAUUAGAUAGGUUCUUAGUUACUGUUGAUUGGGAAUCUCAUUGUCCAAAGUGGGUGCAAUUCAGACUUAAAAGGCCAGUCUCGGACCAUGCAUCUAUUGUGGUGAAUCGCAAAGCUGGGGUGAAGGCUAGGUCUCCGUUCAGGUUCGAUAAUUUUGUUUUAUAUCAUCCGACUUCUUAGAAAAUUUAAAGGUAUGGUGACAAAGCUUAACAUUUACUGUCAACCAAAGUUUUGUUUUUGCGGAAAAUUUAUAGGGAUUAAAGUUCUUGAUUAAGGCUUGGAAGAAAGCUAUGUUUAGGGAUCUUCAAUCCAGAAUUGGUAUUUUAGAGGAAUCAAUUGAUGCAAUCGAUAGUAUGGAGGAAUUUGAGCUUUUAAAUGAGAAUGAUAUCCUUACCAUAGAACAAGCUAAAGUUGAGCAUGUCUCUCUUUCUCUCAAUUUUGCAAGGAAACUUGCUUUAAGAGUAAGAGAAAUGGGAUAAAAAAGGUGAGAAGAAUACUAAAUUUUUGCAUCAGAUUGCUUCCUUUAACUAUAAAGUUAAUAAUAUUAAUUGUUUAAAAAUAUACGAUUCUCUAUGUUAUGAGAAAUAUAUUAUAGCCAAGGAAGAUGAGAAGUUCUUAUGUUCUUUAUUCACUCGACAA